CCAUGCAGUCGAGGGGCAGCACAUGAAGUAGCAAUACGGAUGGUGGCGACCGGCGCACGGGUGAGUAACGCGUAUGCAACCUACCUACAACAGGGGGAUAACCCGUUGAAAGACGGACUAAUACCCCAUAAUACAGGGGUCCCGCAUGGGGAUAUUUGUUAAAGAUUAAUCGGUUGUAGAUGGGCAUGCGUUCCAUUAGCUGGUUGGUGAGGUAACGGCUCACCAAGGCAACGAUGGAUAGGGGAA
rnacentral:rRNA from 1 species